CUGCUAUGAUGAAGAAUUCCAAAGUCAUUCGUAGUUUCCACCAGAAAUAGAGAUGUUGGCAAAGAACCUUCCUUGGAUGUCUGAGCGG